GCUCGUAACACUCCAAAGAGAAAGGAAAACUUGAAAUCGCAUCAUAUGACCCCUUUAAUAUAUUUCAUUUUCACGCAAUAGUUGUUAUUAUUUUUACACUUUUUAAAGACAUAUGAUUCUUUAAUGCCUGUAAUUUUAUAAAACUUUUUACCUGAGACUCUUUUUAAGGGCAACAAGCAUCUCCUCAAGAGCACCAACGUACUUGAACAGACAAAUGUAAAUCUAUUAAAUAUGAUUUUCUGCUAAAAAUGAUCGAGAAGACAUUGCAUUGAAUUGUAAAAAUAUCCACAGCAAAAACAGAAAGCAAAUAAGACACUAACUGAAUGCAUGCUGUGUGUGUGUGUGUGUGUGUGUGUGUGUGUGUGUGUGUAAUGACGCUGGCAAUAUUUGUUGUAUCAUGCAGAAUAUUCUCUUGUGUAAAAUAUAAACAUUUACUUCAAAAGCACAGAAGUAAACGUAAAUGCAGUGUCGUUAAACAUUACCUUCUCCAGUCUCCAUUCUGUCUCAUUUCUCCUCUCUGAAGCCACAGAUUCACAGCGCGAUAAUAAUCGGAUAAAAUUGGUCUCUAAUCUGGACGUGGCCAUAUUUGACGCUCGCAGCGGAAGUCGCGCGGGUUUUACAGACAGCAAGGCGGAACCGGAACAGAGCGACAAAUGAAGAGUCCUUCUUGUUUACGCAGGAGCGUUCAGCAGUAGCACUUCCUCUAUGAAAUGUUAUAAAAGUCACCAACAAACCUGAACACACACGUUCAACAAGCUCACAGAAUGAAGACGCUGCUGCUUUCUCUCAUCUGUCUGUUUGUGUGGAAUCAAACCACAGAAGCUUUCACUGAUCAACGGCUGGUUUUAGGACAGAAUGUGACUGUAGCCUGUGAGUUUAAUUUAAAAGCCAUUAUUUGGUUUGUGAUGAAACUACCAGCUCGUCCAGAGAUGAUACUGCAAACGUUUGGACAACCUAAACAGGUGGAAUAUUACAACAAAAAAUUAAUCAGCAAAUAUUCAGAGGGAGGCUGGAGCCACUUAUUAAUAAAUAAUGUCAGUGCUGAUGAUUUAGGAAUGUAUUACUGUAUAAAACCAGGCAGGAAUCUAAAGGUCAGUAAUGGCAUCAGACUGCACACCUCUGAAAUGUCUCAAGAUGACAGCGAUUGUACCAGACGGCACACCACUGCACAGUUACUGGCAACAAAUCUAAAUGGCAAGAAUCCAUAGCCCUUUUUUUUCUCUUCUAAUAAUUAUACAAAUAUUAAAUAAGUUACUUUACCUGUAAAAGAUAAACAUGAUAUUUUUCUCAAAAACAGAAUCCCCCCGAAGUCACAAUGAACCAGAGCAAAAAAGUCAGACAGCACUUCAGAUUUUCAUCAUCAUGUUCAGCCUGUUGACUGUUGUGCUGUUUGCUGCAGUUAUACGUGAGUAACAAAGUCAAGAUCAUAAUAUAUUUA
rnacentral:lncRNA from 1 species